UUCUAGUCAUCUCUUUGGAUUCCUAACCUGGAUGGGUCUGGAUUCAGAGUCUAUUAUGUUGAAUCACAUGAAAUUGUCACUUAUUUUGGUCAAAAAUCAUCAAAAUUGGAAAUUUCAUAAGUGGUUGCUGACUACCAUUUUGUUAUUUCUCCUUUAUUAUCCCUGUGAUAUUGUCUUUGACCCUUGUCAACUGGCUGUGGGUAAAUGGGAGGGUUACAGAAUAAUAUUUAUUCUUACAUAAUAGGAUAAUAGAUAAUAGAUAACCAACAGAAAAUAGAUCAUUACAGUAGAUAUAUAGAUGAUAGAUAACAAGAAUAGAUAAUGGAAAAAUAAUACAUGACAGAAUUUCUGGCUUCAAGCAUUGUGUGUCUACAAAAGAGUAUUUUGUCUUCCAAUCAUUUGGAAAAAACAAUAGAAACUUUCUCUUUUUCAAAGCAAACACCCUCUUACAAGCGUUCUUUUAACCUGCUCCAUGUUGGGAAUUUCGAAGUCCUCCAUUUCUUUCUUCUAUGAGCUGAUCCCAAUGAUAAGAGUAGUUAACAUUUAUUGAAUACAUACUAAGUGCUAGUGUCUAUAAUAAAUCUUGUACAUAUUCUCCUUUCCUCCCCAAAUCACCUGUAUGAGGUAAGUAUUUGUAUUAUAACUCCUGUUUUAAAGAUGAAAAUUUGGGGAGAGCAUGACAGCUCUGGUUUUCAAGCCUAUGUUGUAUUUGAUUAAGUGGAGAGAGGAGCUGAGAGAUGGAGAAAAAGGUGAUCCAGUCAACCCACAUAUCCUUGUGUCACAUAAACAUAUCUUGGUGUCAAAAUCUGGGAAUCUCUACUGAUGGGUUUGGUAGCAAAUCAGAAUUUCAAUCCUUGAAUUUGAGCUUUAAAAUCUUACUUUGUGGCAUGGUGACAUGACACCAGGACUUAAUCAACCUCUCAGUACAUCAUUAUCCUUAUCUAUAAAAUAACAUAAAAUUAUCUACCUCAGAGAGGCACUGAGAGACUGACAUUUGACAUGCUCGGAUGAGGAAAAAUACCAGGUAGUUACAACCUAUUCUAAAACUAGAAGAGUCACUCUUUGGUACUUCUGCUUUCAUUAUAAUUGUUACUUCUCAUUUGUGACUUUGUGACAAGAGGUGGACAAGAAAAAAAAUUAGAUUCCAUCGAAAAUACUCUAAUAGAUAUCAGUUUUUAUAGAUUUAUAGUUUCUCUUCCUAAACUGUACUAUUCAAAAGAGAAAUCUUGAAUCUAAAAUGCAUUUUUAAAGGCAGAGAAUUUCAAUAAUUUACAACCUUUCUACACCCUUCACAUUCUGUAUUAUAAAGAAUAGGACCUAAAAACAGACAGAAGUACAUCUACUCUCCAAAGAGUAUAUGCUCAUGGAAACCGUACUAAAAACCUAAUCAGCUAAAAACCUAAAUCACAUGAAAAUGAUUUACUUCUCCAAAGACUGCACGUGAGUCAAUGGCACAACUAGACAAUGUUGUUUUAAUUCUCUGGGUUGCAGAAUUAUCCAAAGAAAAGAGAGCUGAUUUUUUUAAUGAUAGCUAAAGACAUCUUUGAAGACAGUUGAAUCAGGGUUGGCAAGGCAAAAAGUCAAACAGCAGAUCCAAACAAGAGAAGAAAACUGUGACUAAAAUAAAAGUGAUGAUAUGUUCACGCAAUCGCAACAUUCAAGUCUGUGUAAAUGAAUUAAAGAUUUUUCUCUGAGAGGUUCUGGUAAUUUCUCACCAGUUGUUAGAUAGACCAAAUAGUUUAAAACAAACACUGUGCAAGGACUGAAUCAAGCCCCUAGUUUUUAAAACACUAUUAGUAAGGCAGAUGGUGAUAAAAAUGAUCACAAAGUAAUGGUUACAGACACAACUCAAUCAACCUGCCCAAAUGGUACUGCCCAUUCUUUACCUACUUUCCAAGUCUCAGUCUCCCCUCCCUCACACAUCUAUGGCCCUGUCACUUCGCAGAUCUUUCUUUCAACUAGGAAUGAGGUUGGUCACAAGCACAGCUGUCAAAAAGGUAACAAAGAUAACAAAAAGGUAACAGAGAAGGCCCUCUAGGGAUCCUGUCCCCACAAGGAUGAAGAUGCUCCCAAAUGUCCACAACCACAUGUGUAUCAUUCACAUAUAUAUCUCAACUCUAAUUUAGGGAAGCUCUUUCUCUGAAAACAUUAUAUCACAACGAUUUAAACAGUUGAUUUUUUUUUCAAAUUAGCUAACUCACUUUUCUUCAGAUUGGCUAGUUUACAAAAGAAUAUAAUUGAUUAGUGAAAAACCAGACUUGACUAAUGAGCAAGAUCUGGGAAUAGGCUUCUGGGUAGCUGAGAAGAAUUUAACUGCUACAAAUAAAGUUGGAACAAUGACUCCGGCUGGGAAAAGAACAGGGAUGGAACGAGCAGUUGCCUGGGGCAGCGAAUCACCAAGGGCAGCAGACUCUUAAGUGGCUUUCAAGAGAGACAACUGCAGCCUUUGAAUUUAGAUUAUUACCCACUUUGCUUGGGGUAGGCGAAUCUGUAGAUCGGGUAUUCACUGGAGAAGUUAAGCAGCCACUCCACUGGGCUCGUGGGUGGAUGACAGAUGGAUGUUUUAAAAGUGAAUAUUUAGAGUUCAGGGUGCAAUUUAAUGCUUUCACUAGUGUGACUCCAAAAGAGUAUGCUGCCUUGACUAUAAGCCAAGCCUGCCUUCUGCCUCUUCGCUCUAGCCCGUAACAGGCUGCUGAGUAUAAACCAAAUGGCCAUCGCCAGGUAGCAAAGAUUUGUCUUUCCUUUGGCAUCUAGAAAGCUAGAGUCUUCCCGCCUCCCCCUUUUCUUUUUUCCCCUCACUGCUGGCAAAUGAGGUGGGCUAUUGGAUAUAUAUAUAUGGCAGUUCACCACAUUUCCUUAUCCAUAUUUUUUCUUUUUUUCCCCCAAACUCGCUUCACUUUAUGUUAUUCUUGGACAGAGCAUAUAUUUAUAUAAAUGGCUUCUAAUUCCUCUGUGAAAGCAGCAAGCAGACAAACAAAUAAAACAGGGUGUCAGUAUGGUCAAUCAUAAGAUCUCACAGUCCUUCUGGCUGAGGAAAGACAUUGCUCACCUAACUUGUGAAGCCAGGAGACUAGAUAAGUAGAUACCUCAAGUAUUCAAGUUGUAUACCUCACAAACUCAGGGAAAUGGAGAAUUCAGGAAAGGUCUAAAGAAGAGAAUGACUUACGGCGUGUCUGUACUUAUGAAGGCAAGUCCACAGCAAAUACUUUCCAUUUCCUUCACUGAACUUCCUAAUCAUUUGCUGCCUGUUUUUCUUUUCUUUAACUAGAAAGCAAAAAAUAGUGUUGGAAAGUGACUUUAAAAUGGGCUUCAUUCUGCUAGAUUGUUCAUACUGAUCUCUCUUGGCAUUUUAUAUAAUGCUUUAUUAUAUUUGGGGCAACAUUUUAAGACUAAUGGUAGAAUCCAAUGUUCAUAUAUAGUUUUGUUGGGCGGGAGUGGUAUAAAUCUAGAAAAUAAUGUGGCUGUUUUGAGUGUAAUUAUGAAUUCUCUACUGGAGGUCAAAUCUUACCAUUCUCAGGAAGAGGCUUGUCUACCUGCCAUGAACAGACCUGGGGAAGUCAUUCAGCUGCUCCCAGCUCCCUAACCUUUAAAUUGAAGGUCAUGAAAGGAUGUAGAAUCCACCCUCUGCUUUUCACAUUUUUUUGGCCCUGCCCACAGUGUGUGGAAGUUCCUAGGCCAGGGAUCAAACGUGCACCACAGCAGUGACAAGACCAGACAAUAACCCACUGAGCUAAUGGAAUUCUUAGCUUUUUUGAACUUCAGAGCAACUUUGUAAGGGAGGCAGGGCAGCUGUUGGUUUAUUUUAUUUUUUAUUUUUUGUCUUUUUUUGUCGUCUCUCGGGCCGCUCCAGCGGCAUCUGGAGGUUCCCAGGCUAGGACUAUAAUCAGAGCUGUAGCUGCUGGCCUACGCCAGAGCCACAGCAACUCGGGAUCCGAGCCGUGUCUGCAACCUAAACCACAGCUCACGGCAAUUCAGUAUCCUUAACCCAGUGAGCAAGGCCAGGGAUGGAACCCACAACCUCAUGGUUCCUAGUUGGAUUCGUUAACCACUGAGCCACGACGGGAACUCUGGGCAGUUGUUAGUUUAACAGACAAGGAAAAGGAAACUCAGAGAUUAAACAUGUUUAAGAUGGUAAAGCAACUAAAAUAUAACCUGAGACCAGAACCCAGUUCUAACUCCAGAGAUCCAUUUGAUUGCAGUUUUAGCAUCAUGCAGUUCUACUUGAAUCUCCUACCUCACUUAACAUGUAUGAAGAAUAAAGGGAGAAAAACAUCCCUUAGUGGGAAUGUUGAGGCAGACAUCAGGCUGAACACACUAUUGUCUUGACCCUUUAUGAAGUGAUUUUUGUUUUACCUUGUAAAAGAAUGCAUAGUCUAAGCAUUGUGACAGCCAGCUGACUGACAAUCUGGAGCAGGGGUCAGGUGGGGUGGGUCGUGGGUUCAGGGUGAGAAUGGAUUGAACGGUGCCUUGCUUUAGGUGGGGUGCUUGGCAACGGUGCCACCCCAGGUGGUUCCACACGGUAGCAUAUGCUCAACCUUUUAGUAAAGGCCAUGGUCUUAUUUAAAAACAAAAUAUCCAACAUUUCUAUUAUGAGCUUCCUAAAUCCCCGUUAAAUGAAAAUGCAGUAUUUCCCCCACUCUUUUUCCUAUGCUGACAUUUUAAAAUACCAUUUUCCUAUUUCUUUUCCUAUCUUUAGAGAGGAAACUAUGUGUAAUGCAGCAGAAAGAACCCCAUUUGGAAUUCAAGAAAACCGGGUUCUCAACCUUGCUCAACUCAGCUCAGUGACUUGCGGCAAGUUCCUUAGCCUCUCGGGGCCUAUUUGUGCACAGGAAAUCUAGGGGGUUUCCGAUCUAAGCUUUGAGGUCUCUUUUAACUCUCAAAUUCCAUGAUUCAUUUCUAACUUAGGUUUCCCUUAUUUAAUGUUGGCUAUUUGUUCUGCUGGGCGAGUUUAAUUUCUAAUUGAUAAUAUUCAUUGUAUUGCACUCUACAACGACUAGUAAUGAGAUUCUCUUCCCUGAUGGACUUUGCUUUGCUCUUCAGCAUAAACUUUACAUCAUUUUUCAGAUUCUGACAAGUGUCAAAAAUCUCAGCGGGUUUACCGACUGCACCCGUUAGAAUGAGAAAAGCCAACUCAAAUUGCCCUAAACAAUAAAAAUGAUCUAUUGACUCAUAGAGUUAAAAUUAAAUUAAGUAUUAGUGUAAAUUCAGGCAAGGCCUGAUCAGGCUUCUCCAUCCAUUUCUCUGAGAUUUUAUUGUCUCUCUUGAUCUUUGUUCACAACUUUCAUCCUCAGACAAACAACCAGAGGCUGCAGUGCUUGUGGGUCUCCUAUUCAUACCCAAUUGGGGCUCUGUAAAAAGUAUCCUACCAUCAAUUCUCUGAUGUAGGAACCAGGAAACUCUCCUGGGAGCCCUCAGAAAAUGGCCUUUUGCGUCUCAAUGGACUGAACUGGGUCACACAGUCAUUCCUGAACCAACCACUGUGGCCUGAGGAAUGCUCUGCAGGCUUAGGCUUGGGUGUUGGAAGCAUUCUUUGGUGACUGAGUCCAAUCCCUACACUUCAUGAUGGCUUUAGAACGUGGAAGAGAGAAUGCUGGGGAGUCAGUCAUUAUAUUGUGUCUGCUCAACUCAAACAACUUGGAGGCUGAUAUUGCAUCUUCUGGCCCUCUGCAUGCUGGGCACGCAGGUAAUGUUUGUUAAAUUGAACUGAAUUUCAAGUGGUGGUGAAGAUAUAAACCAAAACAGAAAAUAACACACAGUUCUCCUCUCCUCUUCCUCUCUAUUCUAUUCUUGUAAUGGCUGCUGUUCAUCCUCCCUCACUUUCCCCACUAUUUAUAUUUUACCCCUCUUAUUUUUAGCCAUAAGUUUUACUAAGUCUGAAGAUAACCAGAUAUUUCCUGAAUAAUAUGUCUCUGAAUAUGCAUAUUCUCUAAAUAUGAAUAUAAGCCUAUUUGCAAAUCUAGCACUUACAUUUAGAGUGUUGUUGGCAGGACUCUGAAAAUCAGUUUUUCUUUCUUUUUUUUUAAUAGAGAAAUGUACUACAGCAGAAGGAUUUGUUUUCCACAAAGCAGAACCAAUUUUCUUCAUUUCAAAGACUUUGAUACUUCCAUAAAUACUUAUAUACUCAUAAAAUAUUAAAUUAACAAAAUAACAAAUCAGGCCUUAAUGAAUAUAUAAUCCUCUGCCACUAAAAACCAAAUUUAGGACUGACAGGUGUACCUCAGAAAAGAGAAAGGGUGUGGGAGGGGGUGAACAGGCUUUCUUAAAAAUCCAUGGCACCAACCAAGGCUGGAGCACCUGGGUUUAUUCAGCCACUCACUCCCCUCCACCCUCACCCUGUUCUCUCAGAAGAUACACAGGGUUCUAAGGCCUGGAAGGAGGUAACACUCAUAAAUAACAAGGAACAGGGAGACUCCACCUAAUGGAGUGGGUUACAGAUCCAGCGUUGCUAUGAGCUGUGGUGUAGGUCUUAGACAUGGCUCAGAUCCCACGUUGCUGUGGCUAUGGUGUAGGCUGGGAGCUGCAGCUCUGAUUUGACCCCUAGCCUGGUAAUUUCCAAAUGCUGUGGGUGUGGC
rnacentral:lncRNA from 1 species